rnacentral:rRNA from 1 species
GUGGGGAAUAUUGGACAAUGGGCGCAAGCCUGAUCCAGCCAUGCCGCGUGAGUGAUGAAGGCCUUAGGGUUGUAAAGCUCUUUUGUCCGGGAAGAUAAUGACUGUACCGGAAGAAUAAGCCCCGGCUAACUUCGUGCCAGCAGCCGCGGUAAUACGAAGGGGGCUAGCGUUGUUCGGAAUCACUGGGCGUAAAGCGCACGUAGGCGGACCAUUAAGUCAGGGGUGAAAGCCUGGAGCUCAACUCCAGAACUGGCUUUGAUACUGAUGGUCUCGAGUAUGGAAGAGGUUGGUGGAACUGCGAGUGUAGAGGUGAAAUUCGUAGAUAUUCGCAAGAACACCGGUGGCGAAGGCGGCUCACUGGUCCGGUACUGACGCUGAGGUGCGAAAGCGUGGGGAGCAAACAGGAUUAGAUACCCGAGUAGUCC